rnacentral:rRNA from 1 species
AUGGACGGCGAUGGACCGCCGCCGCCGGCCGCAUCGGUGGCGUCGGUGCUCGGCGACGACGACCUCUUCCGCGAGAUCCUCCUCUGCCUCGGCUUCCCCAACCUCCUCGUCCGCGCCGCCCUCGUCUCCAAGCGGUGGCUCCUCCACGCCUCCGAUCCGGUCUUCCUUCGCCGCUUCCGCGAGCGCAACCCGCCCCGCCUGCUCGGAUUCUACGCCGGCUACCCCGGCCGGUAUCAGUUCGUGCCGCUCCCGCAGCCCCCGGAGCUGGCCGCCCUCUCGCGCCGCCCGGCCUCUUCCUGCGACGGCGCCUUCGCCCGCGGAGCCGAGCGACUCAUCCACUGCCGGAACGGCCGCCUCCUCACUGCGUUCCGCAGCCGCUGGCGCCAGCUACGCGGCGGCAGUUUCAAGCACUAUCUCCUGGCGCCGCUGCUCGCCGGGGAGGCCCCAACCGUCCUCCCACCGGCACCGCCGCCCAUCCACGGGCGCGCUCUAGCGAGAUUCACCCAGCUGUUCCUACCCGAGGAUGGGGGCCGCGACGGCAUCACCUUGGUGAAUCUCUUGAUGGUCGGCCGAAAAGUCUAUGCGGAAGUGUACACCCUGGGAUCCGGCGGAUGGGACUUCCCUGGCACCGAGGUGAUAGAGAUAGAGCUCCCGCAUGCCACAACCUUCCUGCAAGAAAUGCUGCCGCCCGUUCAUGGCAAGGCCUUCGUGGUGACCACCUCUGGGUACACCCUGGGUCUUGACUUGGCCACGUCAACCUUCUUCACCCUGGAGCUCCCAGUUGGAGUGUGGCGCAGUUACCUGCUGUCAUCCGCGAAGGAUUCCGGGCUUUAUCUCGUUAGUGCAGACGGAUUUCAGCUAAGCGUGUGGCUCAAUGGGAUGACAGUUGGGGACAACGCCGAGUUUGUAUUCUUGGAUUAUGCAACAUAUGGUGUUGUCCUUUAUGUUCAUCUGAGGAGCAGAGUGGUUGACAAGGUGUAUGAGCAGGCACUGUAUCAUCAUGGUAAUAUUCAUCCGGGUAUAAGCCGCAUACAUAUCUCUCCCUUUAUGAUGAUGUGGCCACCUGUUUUCCCUGCACUGAACAGAAGACAUGAUCAAGAGCAAUGA